rnacentral:rRNA from 1 species
UACGUAGGGGGCAAGCGUUGUCCGGAUUUACUGGGCGUAAAGAGCGCGUAGGCGGAGAUCUAAGCGUGGCCUGAAAGCCCCCGGCUCAACCGGGGAGUGCGGCUGCGAACUGGGUUUCUUGAGGACGAUAGAGGAGAGUGGAAUUCCUGGUGUAGCGGUGAAAUGCGCAGAUAUCAGGAGGAACACCAAUGGCGAAGGCAGCUCGCUGGGACGUGACUGACGCUGAGACGCGAAAGCGUGGGGAGCAAACAGG